rnacentral:rRNA from 1 species
CCUACGGGAGGCAGCAGUGGGGAAUAUUGGGCAAUGGGCGCAAGCCUGACCCAGCAACGUCGCGUGAAGGAAGAAUGCCCUCGGGUUGUAAACCUCUUUUAUUCGGGACGAAACAAAUGACGGUACCGCAUGAAUAUGUCACGGCUAACUACGUGCCAGCAGCAGCGGUAAUACGUAGGUGGCAAGCGUUAUCCGGAUUUACUGGGUGUAAAGGGCGAGUAGGCGGGAGGGCAAGUCAGACGUGAAAUUCCAGGGCUCAACCCUGGAACUGCGUUUGAAACUGGUAUUCUUGAGUGAUGUAGAGGCAGGCGGAAUUCCGUGUGUAGCGGUGAAAUGCGUAGAUAUACGGAAGAACACCGAUGGCGAAGGCGGCCUGCUAGACAUUAACUGACACUGAGGCGCGAAAGCGUGGGGAGCAAACAGGAUUAGAUACCCGAGUAGUC